rfam:Ascaris lumbricoides genome assembly, scaffold: ALTE_scaffold0000033
GGUCUCGUGGUGUAGCGGUUAUCACGCCUGCUUCACACGCAGGAGGUCGCCGGUUCGAUCCCGGCCGAGAUCA